rnacentral:rRNA from 1 species
UACAGAGGGGGCAAGCGUUAUUCGGAAUUAUUGGGCGUAAAGGGCGCGUAGGCGGCCUGACAAGUGGAAGGUGAAAUCCCUCGGCUUAACCGAGGAACUGCCCUCCAAACUGUUUGGCUUGAGACCGGGAGAGGUGAGUGGAAUUCCCAGUGUAGCGGUGAAAUGCGUAGAGAUCCGGAGGAACACCAGUGGCGAAGGCGACACGCUGGGCCGUACCUGACACUGAUGCGCGACAGCAUGGGGAGCAAACAGG